CUCUUACUCGAUACACCUCGUUAUAAUUCGACCGCGGAAUUCCUGGGAACUCACAACAAAGCAAGAGCCGCAGUUGGGGUUGCCCCUCUCAAAUGGAACACUACCCUGGCCGAUCACGCUUUCGACAUAGCAUGGUCCAUGAUCACUGACGAAAUGGGUGAAUGCCAAGAUUCUUUGGACCCGAAGAGCCUCCAUGCAACGGCGUAUGACUUCGGUAGCUACAACAUGCACUGGGAUCAUAAUCAAUCAGUGACGUCGGGCAGGGUGGUGGAGAGGUGGGUGGCGAUGAAGAAGUACUACAACUACGCCAGAAACUCGUGCGUGCGCAACUUUAACUGCGCAUCGUAUACGCAGGUGGUGUGGAGGAAGUCCUUGGAGUUGGGUUGUGAUCAGGUAAGAUGUUUGGUAAGCGUAGGGAUUACUAAUGGUGUAACCAUCUGUGUUUAUAGUCCUCCUGGAAAUAUUCCAGGGGAGAAACCAUACUAGCUAUCUGGGGAGAGAAUUGUACAAAUACGUUGUGUAAACGAUAAAUAAUGCAUGAAUACCGACUAUGCUGUAUAUCGAUCGCAGUGGCACUGAAGAACUCUAUGUACAAAACAAGGACUUCCCAGGAACCGUGACCUAGCUUGUUGGUAAAUUGGUAUGAAACAUGUAAAUAGCUAUAGGUGACCUACCUUCAAUUAUAUGACUCUUAAUCCAUAUAUGCGAUACUUUGUUAACAAGUUAACUAGUUUGUUAGCGUUUGAGCACUUUCCCAUUUCUUUCUGCUCAUAUGGGAUUGCAUCAACUGAGUCCAGCAUAACAUUUUAGUUACAGUACUCCGACGGAACGGCAUGUAUCCAUAGUCGUUACACUCAUGUUGGUGGUCGGCUUUUCCAGUCUGGUAGACCAAACAAAGCAGAACACAGCUAGCUAUAUAAGAACGGGGGAAAGUGAAUGGAGUUUGUAACUCACAGAACAGAAUAUAUCGAUCGAUGAUGAAGAAAAUGCCUUGGGCCUUGGUUGUAAUACUAGCCGUGACUGUAACCAUGUGUCCUACUCAAUGUCACGCCUUAGCCGGUACAUCUAGUGGAAGACCUCGUUAUAUAGAAGGUUUUGGUGGAUCAAGAAUCAUCCCCAGAGAAGAUCUGGAAUUCCUGAAACCUCACAACAAAGCAAGAGCAGCAGUCGGGGUUGCUCCUCUUAAAUGGAGCCCUUACCUUGCCAGGUCCGCGGCGGAGACAGUAUGGUCGAUCAUCAAUAAUAAUUUGGGUUGCUAUACUUAUGUAGACCCGAGAAGCCUCAAUGGGACGUAUGACAUUGGCGGCUCCAACCAUUUCUGGGAUGGUUAUGGGGAACUGCCGCCGCGCGCGGUUGUGAAGAGGUGGGUGGCGGGGAAGAAGUACUACAACCACGCCAAUAACUCCUGUGCGCCGACGAAGGACAAUGAAUAUUGGUGCGAUGCGUACACGCAGGUAGUGUGGAGGAAGUCUUUGGAGUUGGGGUGUGCUCAGGUAAGAUGUUUUCCCGAUGAACCGCAGGGUACUGCUAUAACUAUCUGUUUUUAUAGUCCUCGUGGAAAUGUUCCAGGGGAGAGACCAUACUAGCUUGGAAGAGAACUGUACAAAAUACGUAUGUUUAAGUGAUCAUAGUGCAUGAGUGAUGACUGAUAUAUGCUGUAUAUCAUAGUGUGCACAAGAGCACCAAACUACCAAUAAAAUGAAUAAGAAACACAAUAUGGUUUAUGCAUUAGACUCAUUUCUUUACGUACUGGUACGUUCAUGAAG
rnacentral:lncRNA from 1 species